CGCUGCUGGCUGACGGCCGUGGGCACGUGCUCCCGGCAGGCUCUGCGCCGCUGCGCACCUUCUAGCGGCAGGUGAGGCUUCUCCGGGGGCUGAGAGCGCCUGAGGCGGCGUCUGAGGGCCCACGAUGCACACACGCGCAAGAUAACCUAAGGUCGCGAUGGAGCUUAGCGACGCUUGCCCGGUGUCUAGCAGCGAGCGGCCACGCGUGUGCGCCAGGUUCCUCCUCCCGGCUCCCCAGCCCGCAGGACAAAGGCUGCGGUGUCGGCCACGCCACUUAGGGAGGCAGCAGCGGCCACGCAACCAGGGAUCCGAGCAGUAGGAAGAAGCGUGGGCAGGGGUCGCCUCUCUGGACCCGGAGGUCAGCACGGGCGACUCGAGACUUGGUGGCUUUUCUAUGGACACAGAAAAACACUGGCCUGGAGAGACUGUAGAAUCACUGGGAAGCAUAGGUCCGAGGCUCUGGCCUUCGCCCUCUACAGAUGCUCAUGUGUGGAUGAAGAGCUUAAAGCUUGGGUGCAGAUGACACAGGUUCCAAAGUCUUCUGAACACUAAUCCUCAAUGCACUCCACCACCACCGCCACUGAGGAGCCUUUGCUUCCAAGGAGACCAGCCCUGAAGGUUUUACCAAAGGAACCACUCACUGCAAUGGAGUAAGCCAGAAGCAUGAUAAGGAUGACGAUGAUAAAGCCUGAAAUGUCCCCCCAG